UACGAAGGGGGCUAGCGUUGUUCGGAAUUACUGGGCGUAAAGCGCACGUAGGCGGAUCUGUAAGUAGGGGGUGAAAUCCCCGGGCUCAACCCGGGAACUGCCUUCUAGACUGCAGACCUUGAGAUCAGGAGAGGCGAGCGGAAUCCGAGUGUAGAGGUGAAAUUCGUAGAUAUUCGGAGGAACACCAGUGGCGAAGGCGGCUCGCUGGACUGAUACUGACGCU
rnacentral:rRNA from 1 species